UCUUCCGCAAUGGACGAAAGUCUGACUGAGCAACGCCGCGUGAGUGAUGAAGGCCCUCGGGUCGUAAAACUCUGUUGUUCGGGAAGAACAAGUGCUAGUUGAAUAAGCUGGCACCCUGACGGUACCUAACCAGAAACCCACGGCUAACUACGUGCCAGCAGCCGCGGUAAUACGUAUGUGGCAAGCGUUAUCCGGAAUUAUUGGGCGUAAAGCGAGCGCAGGUGGUUUCUUAAGUCUGAUGUGAAAGCCCACGGCUCAACCGUGGAGGGUCAUUGGAAACUGGGAGACUUGAGUGCAGAAGAGGAAAGUGGAAUUCCAUGUGUAGCGGUGAAAUGCGUAGAGAUAUGGAGGAACACCAGUGGCGAAGGCGACUUUCUGGUCUGUAACUGACACUGAGGCGCGAAAGCGUGGGGAGCAAACAGG
rnacentral:rRNA from 1 species